rnacentral:rRNA from 1 species
CCUACGGGUGGCAGCAGUGGGGAAUAUUGCACAAUGGGGGGAACCCUGAUGCAGCGACGCCGCGUGUGUGAAGAAGUAUUUCGGUAUGUAAAGCUCUAUCAGCGGGGACGAAAAUGACGGUACCUGACUAAGCAGCCCCUGCUAACUCCGUUCCAGCAGCCGCGGUAAUACGUAGGGGGCAAGCGUUAGCCGGAUUUACUGGGGGUAAAGGGAGCGCAGACGGCUGUGCAAGUCUGGAGUGAAAGGCGGGGGCCCAACCCCCGGACUGCUCUGGAAACUGUAAAGCUGGAGUGCAGGAGAGGUAAGUGGAAUUCCGAGUGUAGCGGUGAAAUGCGUAGAUAUGAGGAGGAACACCAGUGGCGAAGGCGGCUUACUGGACUGCAACUGACGUUGAGGCUCGAAAGCGUGGGGAGCAAACAGGAUUAGAUACCCUUGUAGUC